rnacentral:rRNA from 1 species
UUGGAGGGCAAGUCUGGUGCCAGCAGCCGCGGUAAUUCCAGCUCCAAUAGCGUAUAUUAAAGUUGUUGCAGUUAAAAAGCUCGUAGUUGAAUUUUGGAUUCUGCCAGUUGGUCCAUCUUUUGAUGAGUACUGAUUGUGUGGGGUCUAUCCGCCUGGUGAUACGUAAUGUACUUUAUUGUAUGUUGCGGGUAGUCAGGACCUUUACCUUGAAAAAAUUAGAGUGUUUAAAGCAGGCUUAUGCCGGAAUACAUUAGCAUGGAAUAAUAGAAUAGGACGAUGUUGUUUUAUUUUGUUGGUUUCUAGGACAACCGUAAUGAUUAAUAGGGAUAGUUGGGGGCAUUAGUAUUCAAUUGUCAGAGGUGAAAUUCUUGGAUUUAUUGAAGACUAACUACUGCGAAAGCAUUUGCCAAGGAUGUUUUCAUUAAUCAAGAACGAAAGUUAGGGGAUCGAAGACGAUCAGAUACCGUCGUAGUCUUAACCAUAAACUAUGCCGACUAGGGAUCGGGCGAUGUUGUUUCAAUGACUCGCUCGGCACCUUAUGGGAAACCAAAG